ensembl:lncRNA
GUGAUUUAACUGGCUGAUAUAAAUGAAUCAGAGAACACAAAUGUAUAAAGGAAUACAUUUAAUGGAUAAGUAAAUGAAUGAGAGCACGAGUGACAGCCGCAACAUCUAUCAUAUUUUCAUGACUUCACAAGCUAAUCUGCUAUAUUAGCGCUGCACUGCAACCGAACUUGCUACUUAACAGAGAAACUUGAUUUUUCUGACAAUGCCCCCUAGACGAAAUACCGGCUGCCGAUAAUUCGCCUGAAUGGAAACGUAGAGUGAGUCUGAGAUCUGAGGAUGUCCUAAUAUGAACACCGUACCCGUGUGCAGGAGUGAGUGUCUUGUUAGGUCAAAACAGAAUGGCCCGUGUGCACAGACGGAGGCCUAAUUACCAGGCAGAGAGGCCUGUGUGUAGGGAUGAAGGUCAGGCCAAACAGAGAGGCCUAAUUUUUGAAAACAAGAUCACACAUUGUCCACAGGUGCAGGCUUACAGAGACAGCCAAAUAUUAAUUAAAAGGUUUAUGCAUAAGGGGAUGCGGAAUUCAAGGGGAUGCGGAGAGCAGGUAAAAGUUCCCAAGUAGCCAUGGUAUCAUAACCGGGAGGGGUACGGAUAAGGACACAGCUGCUCGGCAUCUUGAAAGAUGGUUUGGCAAUUGAGAAGAAUAUUCUGGUUGGUUCAAUUUGGAUACGUUUUAGGCUUUUGAUUGGAAAAGCAUAGUGACGGAAUUUGCCCUUUAAAUAGUUAGUGCGCUGGGUUUUUGACAGAGCUGCUCCAUGGAACACCACUCUCGAUUUGAAUGAAAUGUCUGCAAGAUUGAAUAAAACUUGAAGAGGUUGUUUUCACUACAACACAUGCUACACUGUUGUGUGCUACAUUCUACACUGUUAUGCGCUACAUGCUACACUGUUGUGUGCUACAUGCUACACUGUUGCGUGCUACAUUCUACACUGUUAUGCGCUACACUGUUGUGUGCUACAUGCUACACUGGUGUGUGUUAUAUGCUGUCGCUACCGGACGGUAGUCCUUUAACGGAUGGUAGUCCCUCACAUUGCGCAUGCGUCACUUUGCGACACUGUCGACUGCUGUCGACUGCUGUCGACAGCGAAGCAGCGCAGGCGUCACAACGACAGAUCCAUUUUCAAUCAUGGAGGAAAAAAGCAACGAAAGCCAGUUUUAUCAAAACAUGACCAUUUAUUUAAAAACGAGGAAGAUGUUGUCACAGUGGACAAAACAUAUGAGGUGGAGGAUCAAAAAGUCUCUCCCCAGUUUCGUUUCAUAUGUUGACGUAGAGCCUUAUGCUGUUAGCCGUUUACAACAUAAUUAAAUAUAACAUUAAAUAUACCCACAUUAUGCGUUAAGACAAGCCCCAUAUGUUGACUACCAUCCGCUAAAGGACUACCGUCCGGUAGCGACAUAUGCUACACUGUUGUGUGCUACAUGCUACACUAUUGUUUGCUACAUGCUACACUAUUGUUUGCUACAUGCUACACUGGUGUGUGUUAUAUGCUACACUGGUGUGUGUUAUAUGCUACACUGUUGUGUUCUACAUGCUACACUGUUUGUUUUGUUACGGUGUGUCUGGUUGGGAGGUGCAAAGAUAGAUGUUUUGUUACAAUGUCAGUCUAACAUUCUAUUGUGUUUCCGUUGUGGUUCGUGCACUUCAAUAAGUGUUUUCAUUUCAAGUUGGCAUUGUACGAACUAAGCCUUAACUGUCAAUACGCGUGACCCGUAUAUAACUACAAAUAAGGACAAACGAACUAAACUCACAACACCGUUAAUCAGCCAAUUCAAGCGUAUUAUUUCAUGUUCGUGUUUUCUACAGCUAACCUGCAUACAUCUGGACCUUAACAAGGCAUCGUUGGUAUGUUUUCUCCUUUGUUGUGUAUUUUGUCAGAUACAAUAUAUGUUUAUUUAUCGUAACUGUAUGCAAUGAGUAUAUGUUUAUGCUAGAAUUGAUUUGUCUAUGUCUUUUGUAAAUUUCAGUUUUACACUUCCUAUCUACUAUCAUUAAACCUGUGGAC